rnacentral:rRNA from 1 species
CCUACGGGGGGCUGCAGUGGGGAAUAUUGGACAAUGGGCGAAAGCCUGAUCCAGCCAUGCCGCGUGUGUGAAGAAGGCCUUCGGGUUGUAAAGCACUUUCAGUGGGGAAGAAAGCCUUGGGGCUAAUACCCUCGAGGAAGGACAUCACCCACAGAAGAAGCACCGGCUAACUCCGUGCCAGCAGCCGCGGUAAUACGGAGGGUGCGAGCGUUAAUCGGAAUUACUGGGCGUAAAGCGCGCGUAGGCGGUCUGAUAAGCCGGUUGUGAAAGCCCCGGGCUCAACCUGGGAAUGGCAUCCGGAACUGUCAGGCUAGAGUGCAGGAGAGGAAGGUAGAAUUCCCGGUGUAGCGGUGAAAUGCGUAGAGAUCGGGAGGAAUACCAGUGGCGAAGGCGGCCUUCUGGACUGACACUGACGCUGAGGUGCGAAAGCGUGGGUAGCAAACGGGAUUAGAUACCCAGUAGC